AUACUACUCCCUCCGUUUCGAAUUACUUGUCGCAAGUAUGGAUGUAUCUACAUGUAUUUUAGUUUUAUAUACGUCCAUUUCUACGACGAGUAAUUUGAAACGGAGGUGGUACUAG
rnacentral:pre_miRNA from 1 species